AGUGCAAUUGAUAGAUCAUAUGGAUAGUUUUUUAAGAAACUAUCAAACUCUUUUCUAGAUUGGCUAUGCCAUUUUAUAUUCCAGUCACCAAU
rnacentral:pre_miRNA from 1 species